CUCAGGGCUAUAUGAGAUACUAGCAGACAUAUUCAUAAAUAUAUUCAAUAAUUACUGUGACGGAUCGCUGGCACUCCGACCGAGUACCUCCGCCAAUCGAUGCUCCUAGUGCUUGCCGAGGACUCCAAGCACUCCAACCGACACCAUCAGCACUGCAGACCCCACUUCCAGCGAUGCAGCUGCGCCGGGGUCUCACCGUCUUUCACCCACCCUGGACCCAAGGCCAGGAUCCUGCUUCCAGUGGAUAGACCUCUCCUAUAUCCAGAGAGCAGGAACCAGGAACAAGCUCUUAAAAGAGCUUAUACUCAGGGGAGUAUUGUAAUAUAGCAAUCCCCAAGAGUGUAAUUACCCCAUCCCCCAAGCAUGAGCCAAGGCUUCAAGAAAGGGUCAAGUAGUUCUGGUUUAUUGAGGGCUACUUGCCCGGUAUUUAUGCAAGUGUUCACCAGGUGGACACUCCCCUAGGGGACAAGAUGGAACAAUGGGACAGAUAUUGGAUAUUAGCCAAUCACAGACAAUACAAACAAAACACUCCCACAGUGACAUCACAAUCCCUCCUCUCUAUCCUGGAGAUAAUUGGGAAGUAAUCAAAUUAUCUCCCAGGACAGAGGCAAGACUCCAUUAACCACAUGGUUGCAAAAAGACAUAAAAUUACACAAUGUUACUGUCAGGUUAUACCUGUCGGUUUCGCCACUUCCAGGGCACUUCCGGGUAGACGGAGCUCAGCCCCGCCCCCUUCUCUGACGCGGUCUCCUCACGCUACAUAGGAAGACCGCGCCAGAUUCAAAAUGCUGGAUUAUUGUGUGGUUUCCCCCGAGAUCCUUAGACCGGCUACUAAAUUUUCGCAACCUACUAUUACGUGUACAGAACCCUGGACUGAAAUUUGUUUACCUACCUUCUCCUCUCCUCGACCUCGGACUGAAAAAAGGACCUCUGCUUCUGAUACAAA